UAGAAUGUGGUGGGAUGGUGUUCCACCCUCCCAACUACACACACCAGGUGUAGCGACUGAUUGGUGGGCGGGGCAGAUAGCUUUAAAGCUGAGCAGUCCGCUGCGAGGUGCAUGUGCCUUGUUUCCUUGCUGUAUGUUGGCUGCCCAAGUGGCUGGUGUGCUCGAUCCACUCAUCCAAAAUACGUUGCGCAGUUGGCGUUGGCGGCUGCAGUUGGAGGUUGGUGCGGCGAGCGGCUUCCAUCCAGCCCUCGCCUGCUGAUCCGCUCCCUCCCUGGUCGGCUGUGUCACCACAUCUGGGAUUCUUCCAGAGUUGCAGCGCUUGGACGCUCCUGCUGUCUUGUCUUGUCUUGCCGGUUUUGUUUGGGCCGCUCUCGACUGAGCCUGCUGACGCUUGGGCUGGCGGAACGAGCGGGGCACGACUCCUCUGGCCCCCCGUGAAAAGACAUUAGAAGUCGGACAAUGACAAUUUGUCCCAUCGUUUGCAGUGGUUGUGUUCUUUUCUUUGCCGUUUGUUUGUUUAUUAUUUAAAUUACUAAUUUGUUUGCUUUCCUUUGUUUUGAUUUACUAAUUUGUUUUCUUUUGCAUUGCAUGUUUUGUUUGUUCAUUCAUUUUGUUGGGAAUAACUUAAUUUGUCCUUAUUUUGAUGCCUUUUCCUUCUAGGGGCUGAGUAGUGGGCCUGAGGCCAUGUUUUAAAAGAAAACUGUUUUAAUGAAAUUUGUUAAUAAAUCAUUGUAGACUA